rnacentral:rRNA from 1 species
GCUAGAUUAAAUAUCCCAAAGGCACCAGAUCCCGUGUGAUCUUAGAAGCUAAUCAGGAUCAGCUAAGGUUGGUACUUGGAUGGGAGACUGCCAAUGAAUACAAAGUUUAUAAGUU